rnacentral:rRNA from 1 species
CAGUCGCCGCGGUAAAACGGAGGGUGCAAGCGUUAUCCGGAUUUAUUGGGUUUAAAGGGUCCGUAGGCGGAUCUGUAAGUCAGUGGUGAAAUCUCACAGCUUAACUGUGAAACUGCCAUUGAUACUGCAGGUCUUGAGUAAAUUUGAAGUGGCUGGAAUAAGUAGUGUAGCGGUGAAAUGCAUAGAUAUUACUUAGAACACCAAUUGCGAAGGCAGGUCACUAAGAUUUAACUGACGCUGAUGGACGAAAGCGUGGGGAGCGAACAGGAUUAGAUACCCCAGUAGUCCCUGUCUCUUAUAA